rnacentral:rRNA from 1 species
UACGAAGGGGGCUAGCGUUGCUCGGAAUUACUGGGCGUAAAGCGCACGUAGGCGGAUUGUUAAGUCGGGGGUGAAAUCCUGGAGCUCAACUCCAGAACUGCCCUCGAAACUGGCGAUCUUGAGUUCGGGAGAGGUGAGUGGAACUGCGAGUGUAGAGGUGAAAUUCGUAGAUAUUGGGAAGAACACCAGUGGCGAAGGCGGCUCACUGGCUCGUUUCUGACGCUCAGGCGCGAUAGCGUGGGGAUCAAACAGG